rnacentral:misc_RNA from 1 species
AAGUCGUAACAAGGUUUCCGUAGGUGAACCUGCGGAAGGAUCAUUAUUGAUUAAAUCUGGUCAGGCUAGCUGCUGGCUUUUCGGAGUAUGUGCACGCCUGUCCAUUUUUAUUUAACCACCUGUGCACUCCUUGUAGAUCUGAAAUUUUACUCAGGUUCAUCAACCUGGUUAGAGGAAUUGCUAUAUAAUAGCUGUCCUUGAAUUUCAGACCUAUGUCUUUAAUAUACACCAUAAAUAUAUUAGAAUGUUUAAUGAUUAAGGCUUGAUUGCCUUUUAAUAACAUUAUACAACUUUCAACAACGGAUCUCUUGGCUCUC